UGGGGAAUCUUGGACAAUGGGCGCAAGCCUGAUCCAGCCAUGCCGCGUGAGUGAUGAAGGCCUUAGGGUUGUAAAGCUCUUUUGCCGGGGACGAUAAUGACGGUACCUGGAGAAUAAGUCCCGGCUAACUUCGUGCCAGCAGCCGCGGUAAUACGAAGGGGACUAGCGUUGUUCGGAAUCACUGGGCGUAAAGCGCACGUAGGCGGAUUUGUAAGUCAGGGGUGAAAUCCCGGGGCUCAACCUCGGAACUGCCUUUGAUACUGCGGAUCUCGAGUCCGAUAGAGGUGAGUGGAAUUCCUAGUGUAGAGGUGAAAUUCGUAGAUAUUAGGAAGAACACCGGUGGCGAAGGCGGCUCACUGGAUCGGUACUGACGCUGAGGUGCGAAAGCGUGGGGAGCAAACAGGAUUAGAUACCCCAGUAGUCCCUGAGCGGGCUGGCAAGGCGCAU
rnacentral:rRNA from 1 species